rnacentral:tRNA from 1 species
GCACUGUUAGUGUAGCGGUUAUCAUCCCAGCCUUCCAUAAUCAGGCAAGCUGGGGACCGGGGUUCGACUCCCCGACAGUGCA